CAGGCCUGGGCGUGAAACGUGCUCUGCAAAACUGCAGGAACAGAGUGUCCUAUUACAAGAAAGAAAACAGUCAAAUUUCCUAUUUAAGUGUAUGCUGUAAUAUCAAAAUCAACAUGCCUAUAUAUGUUUUCUUUUUUACCAGCAAUCCAUACAGAAUUAUUUUUAUUUUUCUAUUUAUUUAUUGACUCCUUUUCUGUAGAUUUUAAAUUUCUAACUACUUGAGGAAGAGUUAGGUCUGAAAUCCUCUUUAUUUCCUUUAUGUGAAGUGGGGAGUGUCAGAUGCCUGGGUAUGCGUGUUGAUACAUGCAUCAGUAAUAACCAAAAAUAGUUCCUGGACAGAAACAACAGCUCUACAUUAACAAUUAUUAAGUUGUCAGUGUUGCACACUUAGUCAACAUUUAUUUUAGUAGUAACACAAUGAUGCGGCACAUCAAUAGAAGAAACUCAAGAAAAAAAUAAUCAAAAUAUCCAUUUAAGAAAAACAAAUAAAAAUA